UGAGGAAUAUUGGGCAAUGCCCGAAAGGGUGACCCAGCAACGCCGCGUGGAGGAUGAAGGUCGUAAGAUUGUAAACUCCUGUUAGAGGGGAAGAAUAACUAAGUUUGGAGCUUAGUAUGACUGUACCCUCAGAGAAAGCCCCGGCUAACUACGUGCCAGCAGCCGCGGUAAUACGUAGGGGGCAAGCGUUGUCCGGAUUUACUGGGUGUAAAGGGCGCGCAGGCGGAAUGGAAAGUCAGUGGUGAAAUCCUACAGCUUAACUGUAGAACUGCCUUUGAUACUGGAAGCCUAGAGUAUGGAAGAGAGUGAUGGAAUAACUGGUGUAGCAGUGAAAUGCGUAGAUAUCAGAUAGAACACCAAUGGCGAAGGCAGUCACUUGGUCCAGUACUGACGCUAAAGCACGAAAGCGUGGGUAGCAAACA
rnacentral:rRNA from 1 species